UGUCAUCUGGUCCAACCACAUCUCCAGAAUAUAGGACAGCGAGGGGGCUAUCAGCCGACCACUUCAAAGGCAAGCAGGGUGGUGGGCUGUUCCAUGCCCCCAGGGAACUUCCACAGCACCUCACACCAUGACUUACUGCAAAAGCAGAGCAGGGACCAGCAGGGACCGGCAGGGCCAGUUCUCCAGGCAGCAACUCCAUAGGAAAACGUCGGUGAAUUCUCAUGUCUCACGGGGCAAUGACUGCCAGCCUCUCUCCUCCCCGUCCUCCUCAGUUACAUGAGUAUCUUGUCUGUAGCUGAGGACUCUUCUACUUAGAAGUAAUUUUACAUCUCUAACAAGGUUACCUUGGGACUAAGAUUUUGAGGUGUGAAGGGAAGUUUAUGAAGAUUUGGGCUUUCCCUUAGAGUGGAGCUUGCAGCCCCUCUCUUGGGAAGUAAACCUUUUUUGCCUCAAAAUUAGGGAGAGGACAAAGAAACACCAGCCAUUUAAGAUUCUUAAAUGACAAAAAGGUUUUUUGCAACAUCCAAGGUCUGGGAGCUGUGAGGGGUAAGAAGAAAAAGACCUGAGAAACCAGGGACAUCAUUCCUACUCAAGAUAAUGCUCAGACCAUCAACAAAACAAUAAUACAACCUACAGAAUGGGAGAAAAUAUUCGCAAAUGAUGCGAUGACAAGGGACUAAUUUCCAAAAUAUACAAACAGCUCAUACAGCUUAAUAUCAAAAAAACAAA